UACGAAGGGGGCUAGCGUUGCUCGGAAUUACUGGGCGUAAAGCGCACGUAGGCGGCUUUCUAAGUCGGGGGUGAAAUCCUGGAGCUCAACUCCAGAACUGCCUUCGAUACUGGAGAGCUUGAGUCCGGGAGAGGUGAGUGGAACUGCGAGUGUAGAGGUGAAAUUCGUAGAUAUUCGCAAGAACACCAGUGGCGAAGGCGGCUCACUGGACCGGAACUGACGCUGAGGCGCGAAAGCGUGGGGAGCAAACAGG
rnacentral:rRNA from 1 species